rnacentral:sRNA from 1 species
AUGUGAAAAAGGACAACUGUUAAAAUUAUGGGAACAGUUGUCCUUUUGUAUUUGUUUAUGCUGGGUGUUGAAU